GUGAAUUAAACAUGCUUGGUGUCUAUCGCUUCGGCAAGGCCUUGCUUAAAUCAUCACAUCCUAACACCUGUGAACUGUAGACGUAUGAUGAGGUCUAUUGGCCAAGUCAUCGUCUGCCCAUUUUUAACAAACAAUUAAUGUAACAAACGUAGUCUUAUUAUAACUAAUA
rnacentral:misc_RNA from 1 species